rnacentral:rRNA from 1 species
GACGAACGCUGGCGGCGUGCUUAACACAUGCAAGUCGAGCGGAAAGGCCCUGCUUUUGUGGGGUGCUCGAGUGGCGAACGGGUGAGUAACACGUGAGUAACCUGCCCUUGACUUUGGGAUAACUUCAGGAAACUGGGGCUAAUACCGGAUAGGAGCUCCUGCUGCAUGGUGGGGGUUAGAAAGUUUCGGCGGUUGGGGAUGGACUCGCGGCUUAUCAGCUUGUUGGUGGGGUAGUGGCUUACCAAGGCUUUGACGGGUAGCCGGCCUGAGAGGGUGACCGGCCACAUUGGGACUGAGAUACGGCCCAGACUCCUACGGGAGGCAGCAGUGGGGAAUAUUGCACAAUGGGCGGAAGCCUGAUGCAGCAACGCCGCGUGCGGGAUGACGGCCUUCGGGUUGUAAACCGCUUUCGCCUGUGACGAAGCGUGAGUGACGGUAAUGGGUAAAGAAGCACCGGCUAACUACGUG